rnacentral:rRNA from 1 species
GCCAGCGGCGAUAGCACGUUGAUUGAACCAGUUCUUGAUGGAUCACUGAAGUUCAGCAACGUUGCGCGUGGUUGGUAUUCGUAUGGGUGACCAUUAGGGCAAUCACCUGAGAGCGGCUUUUU